rnacentral:rRNA from 1 species
GACGUAGGGCGCGAGCGUUGUCCGGAUUUAUUGGGCGUAAAGAGCUCGUAGGCGGCUUGUUGCGUCGACUGUGAAAACCCGCGGCUUAACUGCGGGCUUGCAGUUGAUACGGGCAGGCUAGAGUUCGGUAGGGGAGACUGGAAUUCCUGGUGUAGCGGUGAAAUGCGCAGAUAUCAGGAGGAACACCGGUGGCGAAGGCGGUUCUCUGGGCAUGUCCUGACGCUGAGGAGCGAAAGUGUGGGGAGCGAACAGG